AUGUGUUUAUUUAGAGGAAGUGUGCAGAAAGAAGUGGAAGGGUCUGAGGGACACAUAUUUAAAAGAGAGGAGAAAGGAGAUGGAGUGGGUCAGCAGCAGGGUCAGGGAAAAAGUGGAAGUACUCUGCGUUCCUGUCUUUCCCAUGGGAGACAAGCAGGAAUAUGGAGAGGGGGGAUGAGGAGAAUCAGGCCGCAGGGUACGAGCACCCCGAGGACCAGGGCGAGGCAGAAGCAGCAGCCGAAGGGCACUCAGAGACAGGAGAGCCGACUGGUUCUUUUGAUGGCAGUGAGCCUGGGUCCCCUCUGCCAGAACCUGCUGCUGCUUCUGCUUCCACUGCCGGCCCUUCAACAUCUGCUGCUGUCCCCACAGCACCACCAAGAAGAAGAGCUCAGAGAAGGCCUUAUUUGCCUGAAUUGAACCGUUUUAUUGCUCAUCAAGAUCGAAGUCCCUGAAUCGUGUGAUCUAAGCUACAAGCUUUGUUUUCUAGUAAUUACUAUUCAGUAAUCUAAAUACUACAGACACAGAAAAUAUUGUUCUUCCUGAUCAGAAGAUUAAUAAGCCUCCAAAAGGAAUCCCUGUUGCUGCAUCAUGACACUAUACCACAACACUGGUCCAAUCACAAAUAACUGUUUUUACUAUACUAUUGUGAGUGUAUUUGCAAUAGGAUAUAAUUAGAAUGAAUGUACAAAUGUUUGCCAUAAGUAUUCUAGUCUUAACAUAUAAAUAAUAUUUUUAUUUAACAAAUACAAAUUAUGAUUUACUAUGUUGUGCACAGAAUAACACACCAAAACCUCUGGUCAUUGUAUAGAACAUAUAUUUAUACAAAAAAAAUAAAAAAUAAAACACACACA
ensembl:lncRNA